GUGGGUAGUUUGACUGGGGCGGUCUCCUCCCAAAGAGUAACGGAGGAGCACGAAGGUUGGCUAAUCCUGGUCGGACAUCAGGAGGUUAGUGCAAUGGCAUAAGCCAGCUUGACUGCGAGCGUGACGGCGCGAGCAGGUGCGAAAGCAGGUCAUAGUGAUCCGGUGGUUCUGAAUGGAAGGGCCAUCGCUCAACGGAUAAAAGGUACUCCGGGGAUAACAGGCUGAUACCGCCCAAGAGUUCAUAUCGACGGCGGUGUUUGGCACCUCGAUGUCGGCUCAUCACAUCCUGGGGCUGAAGUAGGUCCCAAGGGUAUGGCUGUUCGCCAUUUAAAGUGGUACGCGAGCUGGGUUUAGAACGUCGUGAGACAGUUCGGUCCCUAUCUGCCGUGGGCGCUGGAGAAUUGAGGGGGGCUGCUCCUAGUACGAGAGGACCGGAGUGGACGCAUCACUGGUGUUCGGGUUGUCAUGCCAAUGGCACUGCCCGGUAGCUAAAUGCGGAAGAGAUAAGUGCUGAAAGCAUCUAAGCACGAAACUUGCCCCGAGAUGAGUUCUCCCUGAGACUUUAAGUCUCCUGA
rnacentral:rRNA from 1 species